UGUGGGAGCGAGCCUGCUCGCGAUAGCGGUGGGUCAGGCAACAAUUGUGCUGAAGCUGACACUGCUAUCGCGAGCAGGCUCGCUCCCACA
rnacentral:misc_RNA from 1 species